rnacentral:rRNA from 1 species
GAUGAACGCUAGCGAUAGGCCUAACACAUGCAAGUCGAGGGGCAGCACAUGAGUAGCAAUACGAUGGUGGCGACCGGCGCACGGGUGAGUAGCACGUAUGCAACCUACCUUUAACAGGGGAAUAACCCGUUGAAAAACGGACUAAUACUCCAUAACACAGGGGUCCCGCAUGGGAAUAUUUGUUAAAGAUUAAUCGGUUGAAGAUGGGCAUGCGUUCCAUUAGCUUGUUGGUGAGGUAACGCCUCACCAAGGCCAGGAUGGAUAGGGAAACUGAGAGUUUUACCCCCAACACUGGAACUGAGAAACGGUCAAGAUUCCUACGGGAGGAAGCAGUGAGGAAUAUUGGACAAUGGAGGCAACUCUGAACCAGCCAAGUCGCGUGAAGGAUGAAGGUCUUAUGGUUUGUAAACUUCUUUUGCAAGGGAAUAAAGUGGGGGACGUGUCCUCUUUUGCAUGUACCUUGCGAAUAAGGAUCGGCUAACUCCGUGCCAGCCGCCGCGGUAA